rfam:Triticum aestivum genome assembly, contig: Triticum_aestivum_CS42_TGACv1_scaffold_306312_4AS
GAAAUACUCCCUCCGUCCGAAAAUACUUGUCAUCAAAAUGGACAAAAAUGGAUGUAUCUAGAACUAAAAUACAUUUAGAUACAUCACCUUUUAUUCAUUUUGAUGACAAGUAUUUCUGGAUGGAGGCAGUAUAAG